AUGCUUAAUAAGGACAAAUCAACUGAAGCAAAUAAAAAAAUCUGGAAAGGUAUUUCUAGUUUUGAAGCAGAGGCAACAUUACUUUUGACUUCAGAUUAAGCAGAACUAAAGUGUUAAGAUUGAGUUAAUUACUGUUUUCGUCCCUGUGGUACGUAAAAAACAAACAAAAAAAGUACACAAUUUUAGUGUUAAAAACAACAGUGAGGUAUGUUACACUAACACGAGAAUAAUUUCCAUAACUGAAAAUAUAUAAAGCUCACCUUUCCAGCUGGAGUUGGACCGCGUCUUUGCGCCUUUAAUCCAAAGAAGAUUAGAAGAAAAGAAAAAAUUAAUUACGAGAGCAAAUCAGAACAAAUAGAAUGAUUGAAACCGUUUAAUUUUCCUUCACUUUCUAUGCAUGUGUGAGUGGAUGAAAAAAAAUGUAUAAAAGAGGGUUCAGUUUCCUUUUAACAUAGAAAUUUUACAUAAAAGAGGGUUCAAUUUCAUAAUAGUUAACUGUGAAAUAGUGGUAAUGCAUACAAACACGACAGCCAAUCCCCCACCGAGUCUUGUAAUCACAAAUUUCAAAAUAGAUUGUUAAAGCAAAUAACUCUUUUAACAUAGUAAUUUUACACACAAGAGGUUCAAUUUGAUUUUGUGUUCAUCAUGACGAAAUCAAUGGUCAAAACGAUUUCAUCAUGGUGGUGAAAAAUCAUCCCCGGAGCUAAAAAGCGAGCACCAGCAUCAAGGAAAUGAUCUCUGGGAUUGGCUGACGGAAUUAUCUGUUUGGUGUUCGAAGUCAUUAUCAUUGUAUCAGGUAGUCUAAUAUUCCUAACAAGAUUCUUUCAUUGAAAACCAAUAUCUCUAUCUAAAUCAUUUGAAAGAUCUGUUUACUCUGACUCGAAAACAUAUAUUCAUCCAAAAGUCUCACAACAUGUAUAAGUUCAAGCUAUUUUCAUUGUUACAAUAAAGAGUGUUUUAUGGUGUUAUCAGAUUAGGUUCAUCUUUCACAGGAGUGAUCUCGCUUGAAAGUGCAAAUAAUUAAUUUUUUAAAUGGUUACCAAACAUUAAUUUCUGAUUAUUGGUGUUUUGCAAACGCCAUAACCGGAUAUACUCCCUCAAAAACGCAAUCCCAUACUCCCCUGAUUCUAAUUGCCUCAUAUAAGUGAUACUUACUUUUCAGAAAAAUUUUGAGUAUUCCAAGCAUCAUGGUUCCCUAGAAUAGCCGCUUUAGCCAUUUUGAGUGCUGCAAUGCUUUUAACAAGUUCAACGUUUUCAUUGCCAAAGUCACCUGGAAAAGCAUGCAGGCAAAAAGAACAGCACAGGACAGUUGAAAAAUGAAGAAUAAAACAAGAUCACCGUUAACACUAAAUUCAUAUUCU
rnacentral:lncRNA from 1 species